rnacentral:rRNA from 1 species
CACGUAGGGCGCAAGCGUUGUCCGGAAUUAUUGGGCGUAAAGAGCUCGUAGGCGGUCUGUUGCGUCCGCUGUGAAAACUCGGGGCUCAACCCCGGGCCUGCAUUCGAUACGGGCAGACUAGAGUUCGGUAGGGGAGUCUGGAAUUCCUGGUGUAGCGGUGAAAUGCGCAGAUAUCAGGAGGAACACCGGUGGCGAAGGCGGGACUCUGGGCCGAUACUGACGCUGAGGAGCGAAAGCGUGGGGAGCAAACAGG